GACGAACGCUGGCGGCGUGCCUAAUACAUGCAAGUCGAACGCAGUGGGGACGGGUGAGUAACACGUGGGUAACCUCCCAUCAGAGGGGAUAACACUUGGAAACAGGUGCUAAACCGUUACUGUUGGAUCGACCCGGAGUGAAUUAGCUAGUUGGGGAGGUAACGGCUCACCAAGGCCCCGAUGCAUAGCCAACCUACAGGGAGGAUCGGCAGGGCUGGGACGGAGACAGGGACCAGACUCCUCCGGGAGGAAGCAGUAGGGGGUCUUCGGCAAUGGACGAAAGUCUGACCAAGCCAAGCAGCUGGAGUGAAGAAGGUGUUCGGAUCGUAAAACUCUGUUGUUGGGAAAGCGGUAUCUAACCAGAAAGCCACGGCUAACUACGUGCCAGCCGCCGCGGUAAUAC
rnacentral:rRNA from 1 species